AAGGUCUAUUUAAUCUUUCAAAGAAACCCUUGUAUUAGUUGAAGGCAGGGUUGGAGACAGCAGCACUGUGGGGCUCUCAGCUGACUCCCUCCAGCUGCAAUGAGACUUGUCCAAUUCAAAUUGCUUUCUAAACCAGUAAUUCAGAGCAUUCAAGAAAUCUGAUACAAAGCAGCAGCCACUCUUCCUCCAGGCCUUCCUGAAGCUGCAUCUUUGUUGCAGAAAAGCCCUGGAGCCUUGGAAGAGGACACCAGCAAUUCAGUAGAGGACACUGGCAAUUCAGUAGCCUUUUUACAUUAAAGAGGGAUUUCCAUACAAAAACAGUCUGCUGGAAAAGGAGAUUUAAGAAGUGUAUUCCUCUUCAUCAUUAUUUUCUUUUCCUGACUUUUUGGUUAGCAGUCAAAUAGCUACAGGGGUGUUUUGGAGAGGCGCUUUCCUCCACAGUCUUUCCUCUACCUGCUUCUGCAGCAAGCCAGUAAUAGCAUUUCCAAAAGUGUUGUUUUGCCAAAGGCAAAGUACAAGUGCAUUUCAGGGCACAGUCCAAAUGAAUGAGGAUCUUCACAACAAGGCAUGGGAUGGCACGGGGAGAAGAAAAAUGCUUCUUUCAAAGUCUCAGGGAGGCUCAUCUAAUUUUUAAUGUCUCUGUAUGGAAGUCUCACUUUAAUAUCAAGAAGUAGCUGAACACCCAUCCUUUGGCUAAGAAAGAGGAAUAUUUCUUGCACCGUAACACAGGAAUUACAAUGAACGUUCACUUUGCUGUCUGCAGUUCAAGCAAGUAUUAGGGAUCCAAUCAUGCAGAAUAAGGCUGUUAGAUCACUUCAGGGCUCUCUACUAAUUAGUUGGUGCCAAAGCAUUAUAGAUUAAUCAUGCAAAACGAGAUUCAGUGUUGGUCAGAGCAGUUUAAUGCAACAUAGUUUUACCUUCCUAAACUGGAGGGAGAGAAUCUGCUGCUUGAUAAGCUAAGCAAAAAACAGCAUAAAAAACAUUAGACAGAGAAGCACGGAAAGGAGCUGAAAUAAACAAACCGUUACAGAGAUGAUUAA
rnacentral:lncRNA from 1 species